rnacentral:rRNA from 1 species
UAGGGAAACUUACGCUAAUACCGCAUACGACCUUAGGGUGAAAGCGGAGGACCUUCGGGCUUCGCGCGGAUAGAUGAGCCGAUGUCGGAUUAGCUAGUUGGCGGGGUAAAGGCCCACCAAGGCGACGAUCCGUAGCUGGUCUGAGAGGAUGAUCAGCCACACUGGAACUGAGACACGGUCCAGACUCCUACGGGAGGCAGCAGUGGGGAAUAUUGGACAAUGGGCGCAAGCCUGAUCCAGCCAUGCCGCGUGGGUGAAGAAGGCCUUCGGGUUGUAAAGCCCUUUUGUUGGGAAAGAAAAGCAGCCGGUUAAUACCCGGUUGUUCUGACGGUACCCAAAGAAUAAGCACCGGCUAACUUCGUGCCAGCAGCCGCGGUAAUACGAAGGGUGCAAGCGUUACUCGGAAUUACUGGGCGUAAAGCGUGCGUAGGUGGUUGUUUAAGUCCGUUGUGAAAGCCCUGGGCUCAACCUGGGAAUUGCAGUGGAUACUGGGCAACUAGAGUGUGGUAGAGGAUGGCGGAAUUCCCGGUGUAGCAGUGAAAUGCGUAGAGAUCGGG